rnacentral:lncRNA from 1 species
UAAUCAUUUGUGGCAUAUUGAUCUCUUAGAGUAUCCCUCAGUUGGUUCUACCCCCUCGAUACUCGGUGUUGUUAUUAUGUAAGCCCUUUCCGUGGCAUCGCCGAGACGCCCGACUCUGGCGAGUAUUUAUUUCAUUAUGCCCUUUGUGUGGUGUCGCCUAGACACCCGAUUGUUGAAGUUGUUAUUACUUUCAUAUGAGCCCUUUAUGUGGUGUCACUCAUACACCCGACUGUGGCAUGCACGCUAUUACUUAUGCAUUGUUAUCUUCAUAUAAGCCCUUUUUAUGGUGUCACUUGCUAUCUCUUCAGCUUGCGUUGGUUUUUUCCUUGAAGAGGAAAGGGUGAUGCAGCACAGUAGCAGUAAGUAUUUCCCUCAGUUUGAGAACUAAGGUAUCAAUCCAGUAGGAGUAUCAAGCCAUGUUUCCAAAGUACCUGCGUAAAAACAGCAAACUUGCACCCAACGCUACAAAGGGGUUGUCAAUCCCUUCACGAUUGAUCGCAAGGUGAGAUCUGAAGGCGGAAAGUGCAACAAAGUAAAAUCGAGGGUUGAAAAUAUGAUGUGAAGUAGACCCGGGGGCCAUAGUGUUCACUAGAGACUUCUCUCAUGAUAGCAAAUAUUAUGGUGGGUGAAUGAAUUACUGUCAAGCAAUUGAUAGAACCGCGCAAAGUCAUGAUGAUAUCUAAGGCAAUGGUCAUACAUAUAGGCAUCACGUCCGAGACAAGUAGACCGAUACUUUCUGCAUCUACUACUAUUACUCCACACAUCGACCGCUAUCCAGCAUGCAUUUAGUGUAUUGAGUUCAUGACAAACAGAGUAACACCUUAAGCAAGAUGACAUGAUGAAGAGGGAUAAAUUCAUGCAAUAGAUAUAAACCCCAUCUUUUUACCCUUGAUGGCAACAACACGAUGCGUGCCUCGCUACCCCUUCUGUCACUGGGUGAGGUCACCGCACGGUAGGAACCCCAAACCAAGCACUUCUCCCAUUGCAAGAAUUAUAGAUCAAGUUGUCCAAACGAAACCCACAACUCGAAGAGAAUUACAAGGAUAUGAAAUCAUGCAUAUAAGAGAUCAGAAGAAACUCAAAUAAGAUUCAUAGAUAAUCUGAUCAUAAAUCCACAAUUCAUCGGAUCUUGACAAACACACCGCAAAAGAGGAUUACAUCGGAUAGAUCUCCAUGAAGAUCAUGGAGAACUUUGUAUUGAAGAUCCAAGAGAGAGAAGAAGCCAUCUAGCUACUAGCUAUGGACCUGAAGGUCUAUGGUGAACUACUCACGCAUCAUCAGAGAGGUAAUGGUGUUGAUGAAGAAGCCCUCCGUGUCCAAAUCCCCCCCCCCUCCGGCAAGGCACCAGAACGUGCCCCAGAUGGGAUCUUGCGGAGACAAAAGCUUGCGGCGGCGGAAAAGUAUUUUCGUGGCUCUCUCCCGUGGUUUCAGAUUUUUGGGGGAUUUAUAGGCGGAAUAAGUAGGGAAAAGGAGCCACAGGGGGCCGACAAGCCUGCUAGGCAUCCCCCAGGCCGUGGCUAGGGGGCUUGUGGCCUCCCCUGGUGCCCUUUGCCUUGGUUCUCAAGCUCCCUGCGUAUCUUCUGUUCUGAAAAAAAUCUUUUCGGAGGUUUUAUUCCGUUUGGACUCCGUUUGAUAUUCUCCUCUGAAAAAGGUCAAAAACACUGAAAAACAGGAACUGGCACUUGGCACUGAGUUAAUAAGUUAGUCCCAAAAAAGAUAUAAAAUGCAUACAAAACAUCCAAAGUUUGACAAGAUAAUAGCAUGAAACCAUCAAAAAUUAUAGAUACGUUGGAGACGUAUCAUCACUCCAGACGCCCAAUUGUGGCACGCAUAGUGAUAGUUCAUUAACAAGUCCCUUUAUGCGGUGUUGCCAAGACGUCCGACUAUGGCUUGUAUUGCUUGUCCUUCCGAGAUUUAGCCUCAGACUCCCGAUCGACACGCUUAUAAUUGAUGUUACCUUUCCUUGCUUGCUUAUACAUCAUUGGUGGAAAUAAUUUAUCUCCAUAAAUGCAUCCGUGAAUGAAUUCUUAUGGCAUGACAGGGUUAUUAAAUGAUGUAUGCAUGCACCUCACCUACUUUUAACUUACCUGGUUUCUUGAUGUUUGCGAGUGCAUUCAAAGUACUCACUCGCUUGUCCCUGGCUAUUGUCUUGGCUAGAUUUCAUCGGAGAGGAGCACGAUGCCGUCAACCCCGGAACCUAGGAGUCGAGGAUAGCAGCCUUGUGAUAUAGGAAUUAUCCAUGUCAGUUGUUCCUGUGGGAAUGGAGUCCCAUGGGCACUGGAGAUUCCUCGAAUCGCUUCCGCCGUCAGCCUCAGACUUUGUUCAACCUAGUGGACCUUCAUCGUCUCGUACCCAAAAUUUGUAAUUUUGCUUGGGAUUUUUCUAUCAAGUGAGUGUCUGUGACAGCCCGAGACCGACGCUCUAGAAGAUUCCCCAUUUAUUUCGUUCUCGUAGUGUGGUUCGUUUGUCUGUCGCAUUCAUCAUCACAUCAUGCGCAUCAUCUGCAUUGCAUCGGCACUCCGUUGCCACCAGUUUUCAAAACUUGCAUCCGUUGAUAGUAGCCGGUUCUCUCCGUGUUCGUCGUUGACCGUUUUGAGACCAACCACACAUGCCCGCGCCCGCGACAUCGUUAAACUCUAUCGCCAAGUUGCCAUUUUCCCUCUCAUCCCCGCCUAGCCCCUCUACACAAUGCACUGACCUGCGCGCAACCUAGCUCGAAACUCCGCCUGGAUCCGAAAGUACGGACGUGACCGUUGGGUCCAUAUCAACCCCGUUUUACCCUAAACCAUC